rnacentral:tRNA from 1 species
GCGCCCUUCGUCUAGCGGUUAGGACGUCGCCCUCUCACGGCGAAAACAGGGGUUCGAUUCCCCUAGGGCGCACCA